rfam:Camelus ferus unplaced genomic scaffold scaffold450, whole genome shotgun sequence.
GGGUAUAUAGCUCAGUGGUAGAGUACAUGCUUAGCAUGCACGAGGUCCUGGGUUCAAUCCCCAGUACCUCCA